CAGCAGCCGCGGUAAUACGAAGGGUGCAAGCGUUAAUCGGAAUUACUGGGCGUAAAGCGUGCGUAGGCGGUUUGUUAAGUCUGUUGUGAAAUCCCCGGGCUCAACCUGGUAAUGGCAGUGGAUACUGGCAAGCUAGAGUGUGUCAGAGGAUGGUGGAAUUCCCGGUGUAGCGGUGAAAUGCGUAGAGAUCGGGAGGAACAUCAGUGGCGAAGGCGGCCAUCUGGGACAACACUGACGCUGAGGCACGAAAGCGUGGGGAGCAAACAGGAUUAGAUACCCGCGUAGUCCCUGUCUCUUAUAA
rnacentral:rRNA from 1 species